GCCACGAAGUGAAAGGGUCACGGCUCUCUGAGCUGCAGCUCUGCUCCCAGAUGGCGGCGAUGACGUAAUGUCCGGCUAUCGACAAGCCGACGGCGAUGACGUCGUUUCCGGCCUGUGGCAAGAUGACGACGGUGA